GCUUUCAACAUCCCCGUCCGCUGUCUUCUCAUUAGAAGUCAGGCAGGACUGAAGGC
rnacentral:sRNA from 1 species